AACGUUUCGAUCCAACCCGUGGUCAUCCCCUUCCUCUUAUCCACUCCCAGCUCUCCCCGACGCAAUUACCCUGAGGGCGACCCGGGCGGCGGCGCAUCUCGCCUGCGUAGCACCCCCGCCCCUCCCUUAUCCUCCUCCCCUCGUCGUCGCCCGUUUGGAUCCAGCAGCGACAGGGCCUCUACCGCGCUGGAGCAGCUCGACUGCGAGCGGUGGCUCGUGCGGCGGCGACACGACACUCCUCCGCACUUGCCGUUCGUGCUCUUGGGGGUGGUGGCGGUUCUCGCGGCGCGAGGUGGCGCAUCUCGUGAUCCGACCGUCUGUGUCCGUGCGUGGAGGGUGCUCCAGUAUCGGGCCCUGGUGGCCAAGGCCAAGGCGACAACGAGGAGGGCCGGAAUCCGGGCGGCGAGGAAGAGGACGGCCACUUGGAAGAACGUCCAACGACAACUCGUAUGUGCCACCGUGAGCCGCGACAACCUGCACAGAUGGAGCCCCUGCGGAGGAGGAGGAGCUUCUUAGCAAUAUCCUGGAAGUAUUCAAGCGUGUGGUGCUAAUUUAUUCAACCUCGUAAAGGCUUUCACAAAUUCUCCGAUGCUGCUAAAAGAGAGUGAAAGAUCCAAUAAAGCUGUUAAUGAGGGAAUCGACGAUCUGAGAGCUAUCUUCUUUGAUUACUUGACUUUGUUCAUGGUAUAUUGACUGUAUUCUUCCAAAUUGGAACGAUUAUGAUAUUAUGAUAUCAAUGUUCUGAACAAGUUCAUUUCAUCACUUUCCCUACAUUGUAAAAUGUAGCUACAAUAUGCAUCACUAAAGGAUAUGUAGCAUGAAAUUCAUUCAUUUUCUUGGGACUAAACUAACAUCUUUAUUCUUGUGUCCAGAUCUUUUAUCCACGUGAUGUAUCUCUGAUUAUUCACAGUCUUCCUGUAGCUAUUUUCCUUCUUACACCAUUGUUCCUGAGCUUCCCAAAUAUUACCAUGAUAUCAUUGUUUCAGACUUUUAUGGAGUUAGCAAAAGGUAUGUUGUUGAAAUGUACUAUGAAAUGGUGUAAUAUCAUGCUUUACCUACUGGAUGUUGUGACAUGUGCCUUGAAAGGGGAUAUAAUGCUAUUCAUCACUCAGGAUGCAUAAUAAGUUAUUCUGCACCAGAGGUUUUCUUAUGUUGUCUCAUUAAAAAUUUAUGUUUGAUAUACAAAUAGUUCCGUUCAUAUUGGCAUAAGAAACCAAAAUAUAAGUUACAGUACUUACAGAAUUUACAUUAUGUGUGUGUGUGCAUACUAUUGUAAGCGUGAGUGUAGGCAUUGAGUAACCGUAGAAUUAUCUUUUUCUUAGUGAUACUGUAAAAAAAGGGUCAGCCCGAUGCAUGUAGCUCUCGCUUGCGCAGGGUCCGGGGAAAGGUCCGACCACUUUGAGUCUAUUGUACACAGCUUUUUCCUACAUUUCUGCAAACCUAUACAAAUUAAGAUUGGGCUUGCUAAUCUUCUUUGUAUAUAUAUAGUGUAUAUUUGCCUACAUGGACAAUAACAUCAAGUCAGCAUAUAACAUAAUUUCUCUUCUAUUUAUUUAUUGUAUGUAAUAUUUUAAUAUUGAUUCUAAUUUCAGUUGAUAUAGAAAACAAUAUUUUCAAUUCAAGCGAGACCAAGCGACCUAUAUUAUAAACAUAGCAUCCCGAUUUAAAGUAUUGAGCUACAACCACUAGCUAGCUGCUGAUUUAAAAAACAAAUGCUAUUGAUAGUGACACUGUUUCAGCUACAAAUGCUAUUGAUAGAGUCCUUCAUGCAACUCCAUUCUAAGUUUUUGAUUCCACGGUACAUGAUGCAACUACAACUGCAAUCCACAUCAUCCACCCUCAAUUAUUGUUCUUUUAUGACAAGGUUUCUCUGUACUUUUGUAUGCCUAAUUUGACCAUUUCUAUGUGCAGUCUAUCUGGAAUAGUACCGCUGUCACUGUUGGCACGAGAGGAAAGGAGGACAAGCGACGACAUGGGCGGGGUACCGUGUAAAAAAAGAGGACACAUAUCUGUGGGUUUUGUGGGUUUUUGAGUUAUGCUUAUUGGCUAAGGAUAUGGGAUAUUAUUAUUUUCUCUAGUUGUAACGCACGGUUUUUUUAGUAGUAAUAAUAAAGCAACUAUUGCUUCUGUUGUCCGUCAUAAGAUUGUCUCCGAAGUUGUAAAUAAUUAUCCAACAUGCCACGGGUAAGUAGAAAAACGAUUCGGGUUGAAACAUUAGCCAUUCUCUUUGGUUCAUAUAAAAGAAAAUUCCAUAGAAAGUCA